rnacentral:rRNA from 1 species
GAUGAACGCUGGCGGCGUGCCUAAUACAUGCAAGUCGAGCGAACAGACGAGGAGCUUGCUCCUCUGACGUUAGCGGCGGACGGGUGAGUAACACGUGGAUAACCUACCUAUAAGACUGGGAUAACUUCGGGAAACCGGAGCUAAUACCGGAUAAUCUAUUGAACCGCAUGGUUCAAUAGUGAAAGACGGUUUUGCUGUCACUUAUAGAUGGAUCCGCGCCGCAUUAGCUAGUUGGUAAGGUAACGGCUUACCAAGGCAACGAUGCGUAGCCGACCUGAGAGGGUGAUCGGCCACACUGGCACUGAGACACGGUCCAGACUCCUACGGGAGGCAGCAGUAGGGAAUCUUCCGCAAUGGGCGAAAGCCUGACGGAGCAACGCCGCGUGAGUGAUGAAGGUCUUCGGAUCGUAAAACUCUGUUAUUAGGGAAGAACAAAUGUGUAAGUAACUAUGCACGUCUUGACGGUACCUAAUCAGAAAGCCACGGCUAACUACGUG